UGGGGAAUAUUGCACAAUGGGGGAAACCCUGAUGCAGCAACGCCGCGUGAAGGAAGAAGGUUUUCGGAUUGUAAACUUCUUUUAUUCGGGAAGAUAAUGACGGUACCGAAUGAAUAAGCCACGGCUAACUACGUGCCAGCAGCCGCGGUAAUACGUAGGUGGCGAGCGUUGUCCGGAAUUACUGGGUGUAAAGGGCGAGUAGGCGGGUAAAUAAGUCAGAUGUGAAAUCUGGAGGCUCAACCUCCAAACUGCAUUUGAAACUAUAUAUCUUGAGUGAUGGAGAGGCAGGCGGAAUUCCCGGUGUAGCGGUGGAAUGCAUAGAUAUCGGGAGGAACACCAGUGGCGAAGGCGGCCUGCUGGACAUUAACUGACGCUGAGGAGCGAAAGCGUGGGGAGCAAACA
rnacentral:rRNA from 1 species